UCUCUUGUUGGUUAUUGCCGCCUUAUGUAUGAUAUCAAAACUCAGAGGAGGCAAUUAUUCCACAAAUGCAAAGCCUAGAAAAGAUGUUCAUUUAGAAACGCAAGAAGUAUAUUCUAUUGAUCCGUACAACCCGGCAAGCUGACCUGAAGACGAAUUGAAGAUCUAUGUCAGUGGGCCACCCGGCUGGGAAACCAACUGAACGUUGCCUGGCAAGACACCACUUUAAAAUCAGCAAGUCUCUUUGUGCAGUCUCAAGAGCAGGGCGAUGAUUUUUACAAGCUGUGAUUUCCUGUAUGCACCUAUUCCCAUGCGGAACAAAGGAGCUUUGCCUGUAAAGACGAGAGCCCAGUUUCACAACUGUGCACAUCAAGGACUCCUGAAACCUCACUGUCAUCUGCCUGAAGUGAGACUGUAGCUAUGAACAAAUAUAUGGCUCAAAAAGUGUCACCUUCUCUAGAAAAGCACUAGCAGUGCGGUCCUUGUAGCUAGAUCCAUCUUCAUUUGCAAACAGCACACUUAUCAUUACCACAUGCUUUUUGGGUUGUAAUGUAGCCUUAAUUAUUUAAAAUGAGUUUGAAAUACUUUCUCUGGUUGUGAUGCACACCUUUAUUGAAAAGACAACUAUCUCUGCCUUCAUGUUAGUUUCCCACCUUUGUAUGGUUAAAUAUUUUACUUUUAUCCACAUUGGGCUGGGGUU